CUGGUUCAAAACGUACGCUGGCGGCACGCCUCACUUCUGAGGGUCGAACGCAGUACCAAUACUGAGUGGCAAACGGGUGAGUAACAUGUGGGAAUCUGCCUUGUGGUUCACUCAACAUUGGGAAACCGAUGCUAAUACUGGAUAAGCCCUUACGGGGAAAGUUUUAAUGCCAUAAAAUGAGCCCGCAUUUGAUUAGUUAGUUGGUGAGGUAAUGGCUCACCAAGACAAUGAUCAAUAGCUGAUCUGAGAGGAUGAUCAGCCACACUGGGACUGAAACACGGCCCAAACUCCUACGGGAGGCAGCAGUGGGGAAUCUUGCACAAUGGAGGAAACUCUGAUGCAGCGUUGCCGCGUGAGUGAAGAAGGCCUUUGGGUUGUAAAGCUCUUUUGUAGGGGAAGAUAAUGACUGUACCCUAAAAAUAAGGUCCGGCUAACUUCGUG
rnacentral:rRNA from 1 species